rnacentral:tRNA from 1 species
AAAGCUUUAUGUUAAAAUAAACUAUCAACCUUCAAAGUUGUCAUUAAGAAAUAAAAUAUCUUAAGCUUUA